rnacentral:lncRNA from 1 species
AUGAGAGUCGGGAACAAUCCGGUUCUCCUCUUUGACCCAUCGCUUCCCCGUGGUCUGAUCUCAAAGAAAUUACCUUGUUUUCUGUGGCCUGGUUCCCCCACGUACAAAACGCCUCUGGUUGGAAAGCGGCCCAGCCGCGGUGGGAGGCAGCAGAAGGAUCCAGGAGGAUCGGCCCUCCGCACACAGGCCCCUGGCAGCCCCUCGGCCAGCCGAGGCUCCCAGCGCGGCCGGCCGGGCCUUCCCCGGGCCGGGCCUCCUCUCGGGCCAGGCCUCCCCCCGGGCCAGCCCGCGGCCGGGCCCUGCCGCGGCACCUCCCGCCCGGGUCGGGGCAGCCAAUGGCGGGCGGCGGCGGGCGGGACAGGCAGACGCCCCGACGGGGGCCUGCGACGGGGCGGUGAGGCUGGGGCCGGCAGCAGAUCGCCGGGCCAUGCCGCAGCACAGCACCCUGUUCCACUUGGUCGCCGGAGGGUGAGUGGCGCCGCGCGGGGCGGGAGCGGAGCUGGGAGGCCCGGGGCGGCCGCGGUUGCUCCCCGGGCUGGCAACGCCGGGCCGCGGCGCUCCCCCUGCUGCGGGGCGCCUCAGGCCCGAGGCUCGUCCCCUUCUCGCCGAGCCGGCCCGGGCCGCCUGGCAGAGGCGCCCUGCUCACCUCGGGGCCUGGGGGGUGCGGGGCCCUUUCCAGCUCCCCGCCUGCCUCCCAGCCGGGGGCUCCUGGCGGCCGCUGGUCCUGGGGCUUGUGCUGCAUCCGUGUCCAUGGCCCGCCAGCGCCUCUGGCUCCUGCUGGGGACGCUGGGACCUGGGCAAGUGACCUGCACUCCCCACUUUUCCACGGUUGUAUUUCACCCCGGGGAUGGCAGAGCCACGUGUCCCUCUGUCCAGGAAGAGCUGUCAGAGAGCUCAGGGAGGAGGGAGCCUGCCUUUCCCCGCUCUGGCUCCUGCUUGUGUCCUGCAAUUUCCACCCAUGCUUUCUUCGCUGUUCCACAUUCAGAUACAGGCUUAUCCAUAAGGCACACUCCUGUAGCACCUUGUGUGAAUGCAUGGUUCUGUAGUUUGGGAGGAGAGGGAGCCUCCUUGCGAAGUCGUAGCGGUCUCAGACUGAUUUUUCAUUCAACCCGAGUUCAUCAUGGAUGGUGGGGAAAGGGAGCAAGGUGCUGA